CAACUUCGGAUCCUUGUCAACAACACCUGAUGUCAACUUGACAGUCGCCGCACCACGUUCUGAUCGUUUUACAGUCAUAAAAGUGCAGAUCCUGCAGAUGACAGCUCAGUGACAGACUCAUAAAGUCACUCAACGGCACAUAUUCCAGCCCAUCAGAAAAAUCAGCUGACACACAUUGUGAUAAUGAGGGAGCAUCGACAGUGUCACGCGACUCACCUAAUAAGGCAUGUGUUUGGACUGAUAUACUCAGACAAAAGAAGCAUGUGGACAGACAUUCACAAUAAUGAUUGACGUCUGCUCACGCACAGAAUCACAGAGUCAGAUUGAAGGCCAUAACCUCGACUUCAACAGCAUUUUGUCAUCCGCUCCUCUAGGGGCGCAAGCGGCUUCACGUUCAUAACAACUUCGGAUCCUUGUCAACAACACCUGAUGUCAACUUGACUACGCCGCACCACGUUCUGAUCGUUUUACAGUCAUAAAAGUGCAGAUCCUGCAGAUGACAGCUCAGUGACAGACUCAUAAAGUCACUCAACGGCACAUAUUCCAGCCCAUCAGAAAAAUCAGCUGACACACAUUGUGAUAAUGAGGGGGCAUCGACAGUGUCACGAUACUCACUAUUGUUCCUUCAGCAGUGGGCGGGACUUACAAGCAGUAAUCCAAUUGGCUGAAAAUGUGAUUAAUAUCUGACAGCCUGUUGCCAAUUUGCAAUCCACCUGAGGACCAGCGUGAGCACAAGGAGAAGUCUUCUUUGAAUAUUAGGAUCUCUGGGUCAGAACUGUUGGAGGUCAUGAGGAGGUGGCAGGAGAAGCAGCCACAGCAGUCUCUUGAACUGCUGAACCCUUAUUCCACUGACCUUUUUUCUGGAGUCAUAAUGUGCCUUCAACAAGAACUCUUGGACGUGUCUGAUAACGGUACCAGCUCAUACCCUUUCUCUGGGAUAAAGGUUAUGACAGGCCAUUUCUGUUUGAAUGCAUGUCUGAAAAUGGAGUUAAUUACAAACUGGAGUGAUCAGUUUGUGUGCACAAUAAAAGGCUACAUGUGA